AGGACGAACGCUGGCGGCGUGCUUCACACAUGCAAGUCGAGCGGAAAGGCCCUUCGGGGUACUCGAGCGGCGAACGGGUGAGUAACACGUGAGUAACCUGCCCUUAGCACCGGGAUAGCUCCGGGAAACCGGAAUUAAUACCGGAUAUGACCACGAUCGGCAUCGGUCGUGGUGGAAAGGAUUCCGGCUAGGGAUGGACUCGCGGCCUAUCAGCUAGUUGGUUGGGGUAACGGCCCACCAAGGCGACGACAGGUAGCCGGCCUGAGAGGGCGACCGGCCACACUGGGACUGAGACACGGCCCAGACUCCUACGGGAGGCAGCAGUGGGAAUAUUGCGCAAUGGGCGAAAGCCUGACGCAGCGACGCCGCGUGAGGGAUGAAGGCCUUCGGGUUGUAAACCUCUUUCAGCAGGGACGAUUAUGACGGUACCUGCAGAAGAAGCACCGGCCAACUACGUGCCAGCAGCCGC
rnacentral:rRNA from 1 species